AUCACUUCUCGGCCUUUUGGCUAAGAUCAAAUGUAGUAUCUGUUCACGUCAGCUUAAUAAAAUUAUUCAUUCACCUUCUUACAAAAUGUAUCAUGAUUUUUGUCACCCAGACCUUAC
rnacentral:snRNA from 1 species